rnacentral:rRNA from 1 species
AUGUUGGAGAGUUUGAUCCUGGCUCAGAACGAACGCUGGCGGCACGCCUAACACAUGCAAGUCGAACGGUAACAGGGACUUCGGUCCGCUGACGAGUGGCGAACGGGUGAGUAACACGUGGAGACCUGCCCUAGGGUACGGGACAACAGUUAGAAAUGACUGCUAAUACCGUAUACGUCCUACGGGAGAAAGAUUUAUUGCCCUUGGAGGGGUCCGCGUCGGAUUAGCUAGUUGGUGGGGUAACGGCCUACCAAGGCGACGAUCCGUAGCUGUUCUUAGAGGAAGAUCAGCCACACUGGGACUGAGACACGGCCCAGACUCCUAC